GAUGAACGCUGGCGGCGUGCUUAACACAUGCAAGUCGAACGAAGCUUGACUCUUGAAUUUUUCGGAAGGAUAGACGAUAUGACUGAGUGGCGGACGGGUGAGUAACGCGUGGGCAACCUGCCUUAUACAGGGGGAUAACAGUUAGAAAUGACUGCUAAAACCGCAUAAGACCACAGGAUCGCAUGAUCCGGUGGUAAAAACUCCGGUGGUAUAAGAUGGGCCCGCGUCUGAUUAGCUAGUUGGUGAGGUAACGGCUCUACCAAGGCAACGAUCAGUAGCCGGCUUGAGGGAGUGGACGGCCACAUUGGGACUGAGACACGGCCCAAACUCCUACGGGAGGCAGCAGUGGGGAAUAUUGCACAAUGGGGGGAACCCUGAUGCAGCGACGCCGCGUGAGUGAAGAAGUACUUC
rnacentral:rRNA from 1 species